GGUUUGCAACUGGUUGAGUGUCGUAGCUAACGCGUUAAACAGGGCGCCUGGGGAGUACGGCCGCAAGGUUAAAACUCAAAGGAAUUGACGGGGACCCGCACAAGCAGUGGAGCGCCUGGUUUAAUUCGAUGAUCAGCGAAGAACCUCACCUAGGCUUGAACUGUAGCUGUGGUCAGCCAGAAACGGCUGACGUCUUCGAGAACGCUACAGAGGUGCUGCAUGGCUGUCGUCAGCUCGUGUCGUGAGAUGUAGGGUUAAGUCCCACAACGAGCGCAACCCCUAUCCAGUGUUACAAUUUCUCUGGAUACUGCCCUGUCAUAACAGGGAGGAAGGAGGGGACGACGUCCAGUCAUCAUAUCCCUUAUGUCUAGGGCUACACAGACGCUACAAUGGUUAUCACAAUGGGAAGCCAAACCGCAAGGUGGAGCCAAUCCCAUCAAAGAUAAUCUCAGUUCGGAUUGCAGUCUGCAACUCGACUGCAUGAAGUUGGAAUUGCUAGUAAUCGCGUAUCAGCACGGCGCGGUGAAUACGUUCUCGGGUCUUGUACACACCGCCCAUCAGGGCACGGGAGUUGCUUCCGCUCGAAGUC
rnacentral:rRNA from 1 species